rnacentral:rRNA from 1 species
CUCCAGACUCCUACGGGAGGCAGCAGUGGGGAAUAUUGCACAAUGGGGGAAACCCUGAUGCAGCAACGCCGCGUGAGUGAAGAAGUAUUUCGGUAUGUAAAGCUCUAUCAGCAGGGAAGAAAAUGACGGUACCUGACUAAGAAGCUCCGGCUAAAUACGUGCCAGCAGCCGCGGUAAUACGUAUGGAGCAAGCGUUAUCCGGAUUUACUGGGUGUAAAGGGAGCGCAGGCGGUACGGCAAGUCCGAUGUGAAAACCCGGGGCUCAACCCCGGGACUGCAUUGGAAACUGCCGCACUAGAGUGCCGGAGAGGUAAGUGGAAUUCCUAGUGUAGCGGUGAAAUGCGUAGAUAUUAGGAGGAACACCAGUGGCGAAGGCGGCUUACUGGACUGUAACUGACGUUGAGGCUCGAAAGCGUGGGGAGCAAACAGGAUUAGAUACCCGCGUA